rnacentral:miRNA from 1 species
UUGAGCUAUCUCUCCAGUCCCAAAGAUCUACUUUUUAAAAAGAAUAUUGUCUUGGGCUGGAGAGAUGGCUUAGCAAU